GAUGAACGCUGGCGGCGUGCUUAACACAUGCAAGUCGAACGGGAAACCUUUUAUUGAAGCUUCGGCAGAUUUAGCUGGUUUCUAGUGGCGGACGGGUGAGUAACGCGUGGGUAACCUGCCUUAUACAGGGGGAUAACAAACAGAAAUGGUUGCUAAUACCGCAUAAGCGCACAGGACCGCAUGGUCCGGUGUGAAAAACUCCGGUGGUAUAAGAUGGACCCGCGUUGGAUUAGCUAGUUGGCAGGGUAACGGCCUACCAAGGCGACGAUCCAUAGCCGGCCUGAGAGGGUGAACGGCCACAUUGGGACUGAGACACGGCCCAGACUCCUACGGGAGGCAGCAGUGGGGAAUAUUGCACAAUGGGGGAAACCCUGAUGCAGCGACGCCGCGUGAAGGAAGAAGUAUCUCGGUAUGUAAACUUCUAUCAGCAGGGAAGAUAGUGACGGUACCUGACUAAGAAGCCCCGGCUAACUACGUG
rnacentral:rRNA from 1 species